GUAGGCGCUGCUGCCGCCGCCUCCUCAGGAGCACCCGGCAAGGGGCCGCAGGAGAGAAGCCCUCGAGCUUUCGUCGGUGCUGGUGCUGCCGCCACUGCCGCCACCGCCGGGAAUCACACGGGCUCCUCGGUCCCAGGCUGCAGCUCUUGUUGCCAUGAUGAUGAUGUCACGGACGCAACCACUGGGGGGAGGGGAGAGGGGGGUGUGUGUGGCGAAGGGAGGCUGCGAGUAGUGCGGGGGAGGGGGCUCGGCGGGAAAAGGAGCGAGAGGGCGGGCGCCCGGGCGGGACACGGAGGGCGGGGGCCGAGAAGGGGCUUUCUCCCCCUCCCCGGGCACGCGGCGAGGGAGGCGGCCGGCGGCCGGCAGCGCCCGCGCGGGAUCGAUGACUCGGCUGGCGGGCACGGUCACCUGGGUGAGGGGCAGCGGAAGGGGCGGCGGAGCACCGAUCUCAUGGAUGGGCUCCGAGGGGCUUGCGGGAGGGGGGCGCCAGUGUUCGGGGCCGUUUUGGCGGCUAUGCAGGAUUGGCAGGAGCUGCGAUGCUCACACUUGCCUCGCCGACCGCCAUUUCACAUCCAGCAGAGGAGGCGGGGGCAGCCGCUGAGACGGUUUUUCACAAGUAUUCCCACGAGCAUUCUGCUGAGAUGAACAAUCAGAUGACCUCGUGUGAGAUUUGGAGGAGAGAAGGAAAUGGAGAGCAUGCGUCUGCCGCUUCUGUGGUUUCUGUCGGCUUUCUCCAUAUUUACGUGCUUGUAACUCUGGCAUGACCUUUGCUCCAGUCUCUACCAGAGGGCGGUGCCUGGAUUGAAGUGGAAAAGCCCUGUUUUCCAGCCAUGACCCAGGGAGCAAGCACUGACUCCUCAGGGGAACAGGAGACCUGCCAACUAGGACCCUGGGAGCCCCCAUGCUGGCAGUGCCCUGGGUCAUCUCAGGCUCAUCAGCAAAUCCUGGGGGGAGAGCGGGGCUGGAGGGCGAAGAAGCCCAGGAGAGUUCCUGGCUCAGAACCCCUCUCUGAGGCUCCCAAUACAGAGCCCAGGCCCCACACCCAGGGCCUCUGAGUAUUUUUGUUUAUUGUAUGUAAAAUACUAGUGUAUUUUUGUUUAAGUCUCACAGGUAAACAGGUUCUCUCAUACUUUGCCAAGGGAAAUGUGAUCUGUGCAAUUUGGCAAUAACUAUCAGAAUUUUAAAAGCUUAUGCCCUUUGACCUAGUAAUUUCACUUCUAAGAAUUUCCCCUGCAGAGAUAUGUAUAUCUUGUAUGAAAUGAAGAGGCUACGAAGACAGGCAACGCCGCAGUGUUUAUAAUAGCGAAGACCAGACACAACCCACAUGUCUAAAGAUAAAAAAUGAAAAGGAAAGGCUCCACUAGUGAUUCUGAUGCUCACAAAGAUUAAGAACCAAUGCGAAUGAGGAACUCAUGACACCGCCCAGGAGACAGUGAACAUAUCUCUUCAAAUAUCAAAAACCUUUCAGCAGAGGGUGAGAACAUGUGCCUGGGGUAAGCAUGGGUGGGCAUGAGCUGGGUACAGAGGUGAUUCCCAGGGACAUACAACUACCUUGCCCUCCUGGGAUCAGGUCUUCCUCCCACCUUAGCCUCCCAUAUUGUUGGGACCACAGGCAUGCACCACCACACCUGGUUAAUUUUUUUUUUUUUUUUUUUUUUGUAGCGACAGAGUCUCGCCAUGUUGCCUAGGCUGGUCUCGAACUCCUGGGCUCAGGCAAUCCUUCUGCCUCGUCCUUCCAAAGUGCUGAGAUUACAGGCAUGAGCCACUGCACCCAGCCUGACAGUAGCUUUUAAUCUCUGGACUCUCAUCACCGUUUGGACUGUGAGCUGUGGUUCUAGCUCUUGGAUCUGAUGGGCAUCUUCCCUCAAAUAUGUCAGUUUCUCUCUCCAGGUCCCUUGCUUUGUCUUCCUUUUUGCCUCCUCGGGCCUGAUACCUUUCUCUGGGCUUCUCUACUCUGCCCCGAGCUGCCUAGUUUUGCGAAUAAUGUCACAUCCAGAUGUCAGCAGCCCUGAUGUCCAUGUGACAAUGCUCCCUUGCUGUCCAUGUGACAAUGCUCCCUUGGUGUCCCAGUGACAGAUUUUCCCAUGCUUCACCCUCUCUCUUUUUUAAUUUUUUUUUCUGUACACAGCUCUCAGUCAAGCCCCUUGAGCUGCCUCCAACUGUUUGCUCAUGUCUGUUCCCAGCAAUCUUUUCCUCUUUUAGCACAAUCUUCCUUAACUUACUAGUUUUUUGAAACAGAGCCUAUUAGUCUUCACAGCGCUACCUUUCUGAUCUCAGAGUUCACCAAAAAGCUUUUCCUCCCAUCAUGCCUGCCUCCCUUUCUUCAGGUCCGUUAGAGUCCACCGUGGCCUGUGUGGGAAGCAAGUCUCUCCCAGGGCACACAUGAACAGACUUCAUGCCCACAUCCACAGUGAACAGUGGCUUCUGCCUUCCAGAUGGGCUUACCCUAAAUCAACACAUAUUCCUAGGAUGUGGGAACAUAUGCAAUACUUAAAUGCACAGGCUCUGGGUUCAGACUCCCUAGGGUUAAAUUCUCCCUGUGCCGGCUAGCUGCAUGAUUAGAUUUGUGAUCUUGACAAAGUUACCUAACGUCUCUGGGCCUCACUUUUCUCAUCUGCAAAAUAGGGAAAAUAGCAACACUUCUCCAUAGGGGUGUGGUGAGGAUAAAGAGUAGAUGUAAAUAAAGUGUUGAAUGUAGAGCCUGGCACAUAUCAAGCUCUUAAAAAGCAAUGGCCAUUUUGUUAUUUUUACCGCAACGACAACUGCAGUUAUUAUCUGGCUUCAGAGCUCUCUUUUUAAAAACAGUAUUCCCUGGUUUUACACCCAGGUGCUAAUACUAUUCUAUGAAGCUAAUGUAUAGAGACCAUAUCUUUUUAACAAACGUGUAUAUAUGAGUCAUUUCCGGCACAUUUGAUACACAUCAUCUCGUUUGGUCCUUAAAACAAGCCUAGGCCAUAAGCAGGGUACGUGUUACCACUUUGCCAUUCCUGUUUUACAGAGGCUUAGACACAUUGAGAAGCUUUUCCAUAGUCACUUAACAAGUGAUGGGUGAAGCCAAAUCAAGCCUUUAGAUCUCCAAGCUCUUUCCAUUAAACCAUAUAAAUCACGGGUUGGCAAACUUUUUCUGCAAAGGGGACAGAUAGUAAAUAGUUUAAGCCUUAUGGGCCACAUGCUGUGUCUGUUUCAUAUUCUGCUCCUUUUUUAUUUUUAUUUUUUUUAAGAAAAGACACCCUUUAAACAUAUAAAAACCAUUCUGAGCAACAGGCUGGUGCUAAAAACAGGUCAUGGUAACCAUUGGCUCUAGGGUUGUAGUUUACUGUUGAUAUAGAUUGUACACUGAUAAGCCAAAAUACAAACCUAAUGAAACUGACAUACUUAAGGAACUUUACUCUUUGUUAGCAAUCAUUGUUAAUAUUUAUUGAAUGGUGACUACGUGGGAAAUGCUGUUCCAAGUGUGAUAGAUAUAUUAACUUACUUAAUCCUCACACCCACUCUAAUUUCCUAAGUACUAUUGUCAGACUCAUUUUACAGACAGGAAAAGCAAGGCAUAGAGAAGGUAAGUAACUUUUCCGAGGUCACAUGGCUAUUAAGUAGCAGAGCUGUGAUUCAAAUAUAAGCGGUUUGGCACCAGAUCCUGUGCACUUAACCGCUUGCAUCUCGGUUGGGAGCACUGACUGGUUCAGCUAUUGGGAGGGAAGAAAGGGGAUGGGGAAGCCACAUAACCCCUAGGAGAUUCUGUAAUAAAUAUGCUUCAGAGCCAUUCACCUUGAAGCUGAGGAGGCAUGGAAGCAGGCCACCUGUGUUCUGUACAGCAUCACCAGGCUGGAAAUCUGCCAUGGCUUUCCUUCACGCCAUCACAAGAGGAUACAGAUGAGGCUGCAGAGGCAUCUUGAUUUGAGAAAAGCAUUUGACUGGAUCUCAUUAAAUUUUAAUCAUUAACUGAAUUCAAAAUAAAUUGAAAACUGGUUGACAGAGCACCAACAAAGGGUGAUGAUAAAUGGUGAUGCAUCUAGAGGGGAGCUAUCUUCCAGGGGACAACUCUAAGGCAAGGACGGAUGGGAUUUAAUGAAGGUGUUAUGUCCCCAGAAGAAGACAAAUAGCACAGCAAGGAACAGAGGAAGGACAGGAGUGAGCAGCCUGAGUAAUUAAUAAACCAUAUUAACAGCUCCUCCAUAAUCAGGCCUUGGUGAUCACAACUGCUUGGAUUUUUUCUUAAGCUUUCUUUGAGUCAGGAAUAGGUUUGAAGCGUCCUAGAGACACACAGCAUGAAUAUUUCAGGUGGACAUUAAAAAGAAAUCUAUAAAUUUACAGCUGGGAGGAUCCUGAGAUCUACUUCGGAUCAGAAACUUUCAAUUACAAGAUUCCCAAGGCCUUACUUCAUUCCCCAGAGAGUAAUCUUUUUAAUAAAUGUCCAAAAGUCAUGGAUUUAAAAAAAAAUCUUUAAACUCAUUAAUGUCCUUUGUUUCCUGCCCAAAUGCAUGCAAACUUUCAUAACACUGGUUUGCUGAGUGGAAGGUUGGUUUUGAGUGAACUGUUUGGCUCAGAUUCAAACUCCAAUGAACAAAUACUUCCAAGUUUACUUGCUGAAUUUCCCAUACAGAGAAGUUCUUCCACUGGGCUUGCCAGAGGAUUUGAAACAGUGGUGAGCCCUGGAAGGAAGGGAAUAUUUACUGGCCCUUGGACAUAAACCCAGCACAGUAAGACUCACAUCAGGCUGAAGGCAGUGCAGUAUGAACCGACCUGAUUUGAGGAAGUUUGCUCUGGGACUCCUCUGAGCUACUAAAUGAGGAGGAGAAGGACUAAUGGGAACACACUGACUCCAUCACAUUAGAAGUUAUAAUAAACAUUUAGAGAACAACCUCAAACCAGCCCAUGUUUUUUUUUUUUUUCUGUCGUUGUCAUUGUUUUGGUUUUUGUUUUUUU
rnacentral:lncRNA from 10 species